rnacentral:rRNA from 1 species
GGCAUGCGCAGCCUACCAUGCAGUCCGAGCGGAUGAAGAAGGAAGCUUGCUCCUUGAUUUAGCGGCGGACGGGUGAGUAAUGCCUAGGAAUCUGCCUGGUAGUGGGGGAUAACGUUCCGAAAGGAACGCUAAUACCGCAUACGUCCUACGGGAGAAAGCAGGGGACCUUCGGGCCUUGCGCUAUCAGAUGAGCCUAGGUCGGAUUAGCUAGUUGGUGAGGUAAUGGCUCACCAAGGCGACGAUCCGUAACUGGUCUGAGAGGAUGAUCAGUCACACUGGAACUGAGACACGGUCCAGACUCCUACGGGAGGCAGCAGUGGGGAAUAUUGGACAAUGGGCGAAAGCCUGAUCCAGCCAUGCCGCGUGUGUGAAGAAGGUCUUCGGAUUGUAAAGCACUUUAAGUUGGGAGGAAGGGCAUUAACCUAAUACGUUAGUGUUUUGACGUUACCGACAGAAUAAGCACCGGCUAACUUCGUGCCAGCAGCCGCGGUAAUACGAAGGGUGCAAGCGUUAAUCGGAAUUACUGGGCGUAAAGCGCGCGUAGGUGGUUCGUUAAGUUGGAUGUGAAAGCCCCGGGCUCAACCUGGGAACUGCAUCCAAAACUGGCGAGCUAGAGUACGGUAGAGGGUGGUGGAAUUUCCUGUGUAGCGGUGAAAUGCGUAGAUAUAGGAAGGAACACCAGUGGCGAAGGCGACCACCU